ensembl:misc_RNA Y_RNA Y RNA
GGCUGGUCCGAUUGCAGUGGGUUAUCAGAACUUAUUAACAUUAGUGUCACUAAAGUUGGUAUACCACCACCACCACUGCUAAAUUUGACUGGCUUCAA